rnacentral:piRNA from 1 species
UGGGUCCGAUCACCCCAACGUUCAUGGCGCC